UGCUUACUUCGGAAGCUCACUAUACUAAAAUUGGAACAAUACAGAGAAGAUUACCAUGGCCCCUGUGAAAGAAUGACAUACAAAUUCAUGAAUUAUUCCAUAUUUUA